GGACAGGUGGCAGAGUGGUUGAAUGUACCUGACUCGAAAUCAGGCAAGGGGGCAACCCCUUCGAGGGUUCAAAUCCCUCCCUGUCCGCCA
rnacentral:tRNA from 1 species